rnacentral:rRNA from 1 species
GCCGUAGCAAUACGGUCGUACAGUGGCGGACGGGUGAGGAAGACGUGGGUAACCUACCCUCGAGUGGGGAAUAACCCGCCGAAAGGCGGGCUAAUACCGCGUACGCUUCUGUUCCUUCGGGGACGGAAGGAAAGCUGUGCCGUGGGCAUGGCGCUCAAGGAUGGGCUCACGCCCUAUCAGCUUGUUGGUAGGGUAACGGCCUACCAAGGCAACGACGGGUAGCUGGUCUGAGAGGACGAUCAGCCACACUGGCACUGCGACACGGGCCAGACUCCUACGGGAGGCAGCAGUGAGGAAUAUUGCGCAAUGGGCGAAAGCCUGACGCAGCGACGCCGCAUGGGGGAUGAAGGUCUUCGGAUUGUAAACCCCUUUCGGGAGGGAAGAUGGAACGGGCAACCGUUCGGACGGUACCUCCAGAAGAAGCCACGGCUAACUUCGUGCCAGCAGCCGCGGUAAUACGAAGGUGGCAAGCGUUGUUCGGA